rnacentral:rRNA from 1 species
UACGAGGGGGGCGAGCGUUGUUCGGAAUUAUUGGGCGUAAAGGGUGCGUAGGCGGUUCCGCAAGUCCUGUGUGAAAUCUCCGGGCCUAACCCGGAAACUGCGUUGGAAACUGCCUGGCUAGAGGAAUGGAGGGGAGACUGGAAUUCCUGGUGUAGCGGUGAAAUGCGCAGAUAUCAGGAGGAACACCGGUGGCGAAGGCGGGUCUCUGGGCAGUAACUGACGCUGAGGAGCGAAAGCGUGGGGAGCAAACAGG